GGCUCACAACGAACGCUGGCGGCGUGCCUAACAAUGAGAGUCGAACGGAGCGAGAGGAGCUUGCUCUUCUCGCUUAGUGGCGGACGGGUGAGUAACGCGUGAGCAAAGGGGCUUUCAGAGGGGAAUAACACAGUGAAAACUGUACUAAUACCGCAUAACGUCUCUUGGGCGCAUGCCCGAGGGACCAAAGGAGUAAUCCGCUGAAAGAUGGGCUCGCGUCCGAUUAGACAGUUGGCGGGGUAACGGCCCACCAAAUCAACGAUCGGUAGCCGGACUGAGAGGUUGAACGGCCACAUUGGGACUGAGAUACGGCCCAGACUCCCACGGGAGGCAGCAGUGAGGGAUAUUAGGCAAUGGGGGAAACCCUGACCUAGCAACGCCGCGGGAAGGAUGAAGGCUCUCGGAUUGUAAACUUCUUUGAGGAGGGGCGAUGAUGACGGUACCUCGAAAACAAGCCACGGCUAACUACGUGCCAGCAGCCGCGGUAAUACGUAGGUGGCAAGCGUUGUCCGGAUUUAUUGGGUGUAAAGGGCGUGUAGGCGKAAUCGCAAGUCAGAUGUGAAAUACGGAGGCUUAACCUCCGGGCUGCAUUUAAAACUGCGGAUCUUGAGUGAUGGAGAGGUAAGCGGAAUUCCCGGUGUAGCGGUAAAAUGCGUAGAUAUCGGGAGGAACACCCAGUGGCGAAGGCGGCUUACUGGACAUUAACUGACGCUGAGGCGCGAAAGUGUGGGGAGCACACAGGAUUAGAUACCCUGGUAGUCCACACUGUAAACGAUGGAUACUAGGUGUGGGGGGACUGACCCCUUCCGUGCCGGAGUAAACACAAUAAGKAUCCCACCUGGGGAGUACGGUCGCAAGAUUAAAACUCAAAGGAAUUGACGGGGACCCGCACAAGCAGUGGAGUAUGUGGAUUAAUUCGAUGCAACGCGAAGAACCUUACCAAGGCUUGACAUCCUACUGACGAAGUAGAGAUACAUUAGGUGCCCCUCGGGGAAAGUAGAGACAGGUGGUGCAUGGUUGUCGUCAGCUCGUGUCGUGAGAUGUUGGGUUAAGUCCCGCAACGAGCGCAACCCUUGUGGUUAGUUGCUACGGAAGAGCACUCUGGCCGGACUGCCGUUGACAAAACGGAGGAAGGUGGGGAUGACGUCAAAUCAUCAUGCCCUUUAUGUCUUGGGCUUCACACGUACUACAAUGGCGCGGAACAAAGAGCAGCGAACGCGCGAGCGCGAGCGAAUCUCGAAAAGGCGCCCCAGUUCAGAUUGCAGGCUGCAACCCGCCUGCAUGAAGCCGGAAUUGCUAGUAAUCGCGGAUCAGCAUGCCGCGGUGAAUACGUUCCCGGGUCUUGUACACACCGCCCGUCAAACCAUGAAAGUCGGAAACACCCGAAGUCUGUAGCCUACCCAAGGGGGGCGCAGCCGAAGGUGGGUUCGGGGACUCCAUAAGUCGUAACAAGGUAACC
rnacentral:rRNA from 1 species